AUUGAACGCUGGCGGCAUGCUUUACACAUGCAAGUCGAACGGUAACAGGUUAAGCUGACGAGUGGCGAACGGGUGAGUAAUGCAUCGGAACGUGCCCGGUCGUGGGGGAUAACGCAGCGAAAGCUGCGCUAAUACCGCAUACGAUCUGAGGAUGAAAGCGAGGGACCGUAAGGCCUCGCGCGAUCGGAGGGGGCGAUGUCAGAUUAGGUAGUUGGUGGGGUAAAGGCUCACAAAGCCAACGAUCUGUAGCUGGUCUGAGAGGACGACCAGCCACACUGGGACUGAGACACGGCCCAGACUCCUACGGGAGGCAGCAGUGGGGAAUUUUGGACAAUGGGCGAAAGCCUGAUCCAGCAAUGCCGCGUGCAGGAAGAAGGCCUUCGGGUUGUAAACUGCUUUUGUACGGAGCGAAAAGGUCUCCUCUAAUACAGGGGGCUCAUGACGGUACCGUAAGAAUAAGCACCGGCUAACUACGUGCCAGCAGCCGCAGUAA
rnacentral:rRNA from 1 species